rnacentral:rRNA from 1 species
UGUUCCUACGGGGGGCAGCAGUAGGGAAUUUUCGUCAAUGGGCGCAAGCCUGAACGAGCAAUGCCGCGUGAACGAGGAAGGUCUUCGGAUCGUAAAGGUCUGUUGAAGGGGACAAAGAGCGGAGAGAGGAAAUGGUCUCCGAUUGAUAUUACCCUUCGAGGAAGUCACGGCUAACUAAGUGCCAGCAGCCGCGGUAAUACGUAGGUGGCGAGAGUUAUCCGGAAUGAUUGGGCGUAAAGGGUGCGUAGGCGGCCUGCUAAGUCUGGAGUGAAAGGCACCGG